GAGUUGUUUUUGUUGGAAACACUCUUUGUCAAGUACCUGGGGGUCUUCAUCAGUAAGACCUCAUUUUAGAUGCCUCCUGGCCUCCCCUUCCCAGGAGCACAGCUAUGACCUUAGGUACUCCUUCCGAAAAGAACUUGUUUAACUAAAGGUAAGUGUACCUCAUCCUCACCAUGGCCUCCUUCCACUGGGGAAGCAGAUAGCGCAGAAAAAAGAACACACCCAUUCCCCACAUACCUUCACACUCGUCACAUACCUGCUACGUGAGAUGUGCAAAGCUGAAUUCAGGGAAUGCUCAGUAGUUACAUAACAGUGCCACUAAAGGCAAUUGUUUUCAGUGAUUUCCAUCGAGCUGGGUUCUGCAAAGAUCCACAGCACUUUCCGGUUGCAUGCUGGGCACUUUUGGAAGCUGCAGUCAAUUCUGGAGGCCACCAGGGCACCAUUAGCACAUAGCAGCAAUUAUUGACUAAAUGGUGCUCUGGUUCCAUGCCUUCCAAGGGGGCCCACUUAGAGGCAGGGUGGAGUUGCUUAGGGCCUUUUUUUUUUUUUUUUUUUGUAGACGGAGUUUUGCUCUUGUUGCCCAAGCUGGAGUGCAAUGGUGCGAUCUUCGCUUACUGCAACCUCUGCUUCCUGGGUUCAAGUGAUUCCCCUGCCUCAGCCUCCCGAGUAGCAGGGAUUACAGAUGGAGCCUCGCUCUGUCACCCAGGCUGGAGUGCAGUGGCACAAUCUCGGGUCACUGCAACCUCCGCCCCCCAGCUUCAAGCGAUUCUCCUGUCUCAGCCUCCCGAGUAGCUAGGAUUACAGGUGCACGCCACCAGGCCUGGCUAAUUUUUAUAUUUUUAGUAGAGAUGGGAUUUUGCCUUGUUGGCCAGGCUGGUCUCAAACUCCUGACCUCAGGUGACCCAUCCACCUUGGCCUCCCAAAGUGCUGGGACUACAGGUGUGAGCCACCAUGCCUGGUCCCCCACUUGUUGAUUUUGCAGAAAAGAUAGCUGUGUUACAACCUGUCCUAAGGUCAGGUAUGAAUACUUGUGCUUCUUUCUUGGCUCCCCAAGCCAGAGGGCAUUCCUAUGCCCAGGUGAGAGAGCACGGAGUGUUACUUUGGCAGCACAGUCAGUUACCAGAGGUAGGAAAAGCAAAGGCCAGGCAGGACAUGAGGGGCCCUUGCACUGGCUGGUUCUCCCUGCCUUCACCACCCUCCAGGUGAAUGACUGGGUGAAUAAUGAUUGACUGAGGAGGUAAUGAAUAAUUUAUGGACACUGCUGGACCUCAGUCUCCUCAUCUGAAAGAUGAGUGGUUGGAGAAGUUUAAUGGUUUUCAAAUGCUUUUUUUUUCAGUCUUCAAAUAAGUGUUUACGUAGAAGCACCAUAUCUGAAACAGGUGACAGUGGACCAGUCUGAAUGAAAUGAGGGUUGGCAGGCCUGAGCUCCAAAACCUUCUGAUUGCCCAAGCCCUCCUUGUCUUGCUUGGAUUAUCUCCACACAAAUGGAGAAACUGGACAAG
ensembl:lncRNA PAX8-AS1 PAX8 antisense RNA 1